GGUGAACCUGCGGAAGGAUCAUUAACCUUUCAAAUCAGGGUGCGGCGCGGCCCCCGAGGAGCGGAAACAAUCCUUGGGAGGUAUGCGGGGGCUUCGAGCCCCCCAUUUACGCACGCACGACUGCCAUCCUUACUUUACGAGCACCUUCUGUUCUCCCUCGGCGGGGCAACCUGCCGUUGGAACCGAAUAAACUCUUUUUGCAUCUAGCAUUACCUGUUCCGAAACAAACAAUCGUUACAACUUUCAACAAUGGAUCUCUUGGCUCUGGCAUCGAUGAAGAACGCAGCGAAAUGCGAUAAGUAGUGUGAAUUGCAGAAUUCAGUGAAUCAUCGAAUCUUUGAACGCACAUUGCGCCCCUCGGUAUUCCGUGGGGCAUGCCUGUUCGAGCGUCAUCUACACCCUCAAGCUCUGCUUGGUGUUGGGCGUCUGUCCCGCCUCCGCGCGUGGACUCGCCCCAAAUUCAUUGGCAGCGGUCCUUGCCUCCUCUCGCGCAGCACAUUGCGCUUCUCGAGGGGCUACGGCUCGCGUCCAACAAGCACAUUUACCGUCUUUGACCUCGGAUCAGGUAGGGAUACCCGCUGAACUUAAGCAU
rnacentral:rRNA from 1 species